rnacentral:rRNA from 1 species
CAGCCGCCGGGUAAUACGUAGGGGGCGAGCGUUGUCCGGAAUUAUUGGGCGUAAAGCGCGCGCAGGCGGUCCUUUAAGUCUGAUGUGAAAGCCCACGGCUCAACCGUGGAGGGUCAUUGGAAACUGGGGGACUUGAGUGCAGGAGAGGAGAGCGGAAUUCCACGUGUAGCGGUGAAAUGCGUAGAGAUGUGGAGGAACACCAGUGGCGAAGGCGGCUCUCUGGCCUGUAACUGACGCUGAGGCGCGAAAGCGUGGGGAGCAAACAGGAUUAGAUACCCUGGUAGUCCACGCCGUAAACGAUGAGUGCUAAGUGUUAGAGGGGUCACACCCUUUAGUGCUGCAGCUAACGCGAUAAGCACUCCGCCUGGGGAGUACGGCCGCAAGGCUGAAACUUAAAGGAAUUGGCGGG